rnacentral:rRNA from 1 species
AGAGUUUGAUCCUGGCUCAGGAUGAACGCUAGCUACAGGCUUAACACAUGCAAGUCGAGGGGCAGCAUGGGGGUUGCUCGCAACCCCUGAUGGCGACCGGCGCACGGGUGAGUAACGCGUAUCCGACCUUCCCGCGGCAGGGGCAUAACCCGGUGAAAGCCGGACUAAUUCCCCGUGGUCCCCACACAGGGCAUCCUUCGUGGGGUAUAGGACUCGUCCGGCCGCGGACGGGGAUGCGUCCGAUUAGCUAGUUGGCGGGGUAACGGCCCACCAAGGCACCGAUCGGUAGGGGUUCUGAGAGGAAGGCCCCCCACAUUGGGACUGAGACACGGCCCAAACUCCUACGGGAGGCAGCAGUGAGGAAUAUUGGUCAAUGGGCGCGAGCCUGAACCAGCCAAGUAGCGUGGAGGACGACGGCCCUACGGGUUGUAAACUCCUUUUGCGCGGGGAUAAAGUGCGCGACGUGCUCGCGCAUUGCAGGUACCGCGCGAACAAGGACCGGCCAAUUCCGUGCCAGCAGCCGCGGUAAUACGGAAGGUCCGGGUGUUAUCCGGAUUUAUUGGGUUUAAAGGGAGCGCAGACUGCCUGUCAAGCGUGCAGUGAAACGCCGCGGCCCAACCGCGGCCCUGCUGCGCGAACUGGCGGGCUUGAGUGGGCUGGAGGCACGCGGAAUUCGUGGUGUAGCGGUGAAAUGCUCAGAUAUCACGAGGAACCCCGAUUGCGAAGGCAGCGUGCCGCGUCCCUACUGACGUUGAGGCUCGAAGGUGCGGGUAUCGAACAGGAUUAGAUACCCUGGUAGUCCGCACGGUAAACGAUGGAUGCCCGCUCCCGGCGACACACUGCCGGGGGCCAAGCGAAAGCGUUAAGCAUCCCACCUGGGGAGUACGCCGGCAACGGUGAAACUCAAAGGAAUUGACGGGGGCCCGCACAAGCGGAGGAACAUGUGGUUUAAUUCGAUGAUACGCGAGGAACCUUA